GAUGAACGCUGGCGGCGUGCCUAAUACAUGCAGGUCGAGCGAACGGACGAGAAGCUUGCUUUUCUGAUGUUAGCGGCGGACGGGUGAGUAACACGUGGAUAACCUACCUAUAAGACUGGGAUAACUUCGGGAAACCGGAGCUAAUACCGGAUAAUAUUUUGAACCGCAUGGUUCAAAAGUGAAAGACGGUCUUGCUGUCACUUAUAGAUGGAUCCGCGCUGCAUUAGCUAGUUGGUAAGGUAACGGCUUACCAAGGCAACGAUGCAUAGCCGACCUGAGAGGGUGAUCGGCCACACUGGAACUGAGACACGGUCCAGACUCCUACGGGAGGCAGCAGUAGGGAAUCUUCCGCAAUGGGCGAAAGCCUGACGGAGCAACGCCGCGUGAGUGAUGAAGGUCUUCGGAUCGUAGAACUCUGUUAUUAGGGAAGAACAUAUGUGUAAGUAACUGUGCACAUCUUGACGGUACCUAAUCAGAAAGCCACGGCUAACUACGUGCCAGCAGCCGCGGUAAUACGUAGGUGGCAAGCGUUAUCCGGAAUAUUGGGCGUAAAGCGCGCGUAGGCGGUUUUUUAGUCUGAUGUGAAAGCCCACGGCUCAACCGUGGAGGGUCAUUGGAAACUGGAAAACUUGAGUGCAGAAGAGGAAAGUGGAAUUCCAUGUGUAGCGGUGAAAUGCGCAGAGAUGUGGAGGAACACCAGUGGCGAAGGCGACUUUCUGGUCUGUAACUGACGCUGAUGUGCGAAAGCGUGGGGAUCAAACAGGAUUAGAUACCCUGGUAGUCCACGCCGUAAACGAUGAGUGCUAAGUGUUAGGGGGUUUCCGCCCCUUAGUGCUGCAGCUAACGCAUUAAGCACUCCGCCUGGGGAGUACGACCGCAAGGUUGAAACUCAAAGGAAUUGACGGGGGCCCGCACAAGCGGUGGAGCAUGUGGUUUAAUUCGAAGCAACGCGAAGAACCUUACCAAAUCUUGACAUCCUUUGACAACUCUAGAGAUAGAGCCUUCCCCUUCGGGGGACAAAGUGACAGGUGGUGCAUGGUUGUCGUCAGCUCGUGUCGUGAGGUGUUGGGUUAAGUCCCGCAACGAGCGCAACCCUUAAGCUUAGUUGCCAUCAUUAAGUUGGGCACUCUAAGUUGACUGCCGGUGACAAACCGGAGGAAGGUGGGGAUGACGUCAAAUCAUCAUGCCCCUUAUGAUUUGGGCUACACACGUGCUACAAUGGACAAUACAAAGGGCAGCGAAACCGCGAGGUCAAGCAAAUCCCAUAAAGUUGUUCUCAGUUCGGAUUGUAGUCUGCAACUCGACUACAUGAAGCUGGAAUCGCUAGUAAUCGUAGAUCAGCAUGCUACGGUGAAUACGUUCCCGGGUCU
rnacentral:rRNA from 1 species